rnacentral:lncRNA from 1 species
AUGAAUCACAUAAUCACACCGCUGAGAAGAAGCAGGGUGACUGGUGACUUUCAAGCUAAGAGCAACUUCUUUUGUGGUUUCCACAUCCUUUGUACACCAGCCACUCAGUGCGGCUCGAUAUGCCUAGGGCACUCCUCGCCAGACAACUACAGAGCACCUGCCGUGUGCACAGAGUUGGAGGAGGGGCACACAGAGCUCAUCUACAUCCUGGCUUCUCUCAAGAGAAUAACUCCAGAGCUGGUGCACAGGGGUGAGCUGAAGCAAGCGGGGUGAGACCAGGGGUUUGUUACAGGGCUGGGGUGCCUGGACCAAGAAGAACGUAUGGCCAGAUUACUACCAGGUUACUACCAUCACAGGGAAGGAAGAUGCUUAAGGAUGACGUCAUCUGGCGCAGACAUUUGCCCAGUCCCUUGAAUGUGAUGGCUCAGGGCUGUGUGUCCCAGUGGUGCCCCCACCCGCAUGAGGAGUUCCAGCUGAGUCAGGGAGGCAGGCGAAGAAACAAGAAUGUAGCAAGCCCAGGUGAUAACUGCAGACCUGGGGCUGUGGCUCCCAGGAGAGUGUGAAGAAAGAGACAUCUGACAUGGACCCUGGCAGGAAUGAAAUGCAGACAUGCAGAAAGGCAGCAGGGGUCUAAGGAAGGUUGAAUGGCAUUGAGGCAGGAAGCGCAGGAGCAUGCGCUCCAUUCAUUCAUUAAUUCAUUUGUUUACUCACUCAUUCACUCAACAUUCCAGUGGCUGCCCAUUUCCAGGCCCUGUCCUGGGCACAGAGGCCUCAGACACAAAUCCCACCUAGGUCCUGGACUCCCACCAGUGAGGAAGACAAACUAUGAAAGACAAUAGCCUCACAGUUUGGCCAAGUUUGGGACAGAAAGCUAUGCAGGGCCUAGGGAGUCAGGAAGUACCUGAGGAUAUGAGCCUGAGCCACUUUUAGAGGGGGCAGAAAGGGUGUGCUAUGGCGAGGACACAGAUGUACAAAGACAGGAGGAACGAGGGCAGAUUCAAGGAAGACAGAUUGUUCCAUAAGGCAGGGGGCAGUGUUAGGGACUGAGUGUUUGUGUCCCCCACAAAUUCAUAUGUUGAAACCCUAAUCCCCAACGUGAUGGCAUUUGGAGAUGAAGCCUUCGGGAAGUGAUUAGGCUCACAUGACAGGAUCAGUGUCCUAAUAAGCAGACACACAAGAAAGCUUACUUCCUCUCUCUCUGUCCACUUCACGAAUGCACAGUGAGAAGGCAGCCACCUACAUGUCAGAAGAGAACUCUCACCAGAAUCAGCCCGCACCUUGAUCAGCCCUAGAAUUGUGAGAAGUAAACUUCCGUUGUUUAAGCUGCCCAGUCAAUGGUAUUUUUUUCUUAUAGCAGCCAGAGCAGAUGAAGAUAAAGGAUGAAAGCAAGAGCAUCAAGAGAUGAGGCCACAGAUGUGUUGACAGGGGCUGUGGACUUCAUCCUAGCACACAGGGAGCCCACUGAAGAGAGGGGUGACAAAG